rnacentral:rRNA from 1 species
UCCUACGGGAGGCAGCAGUAGGGAAUCUUCCGCAAUGGACGAAAGUCUGACGGAGCAACGCCGCGUGAGUGAUGAAGGCUUUCGGGUCGUAAAACUCUGUUGUUAGGGAAGAACAAGUGCUAGUUGAAUAAGCUGGCACCUUGACGGUACCUAACCAGAAAGCCACGGCUAACUACGUGCCAGCAGCCGCGGUAAUACGUAGGUGGCAAGCGUUAUCCGGAAUUAUUGGGCGUAAAGCGCGCGCAGGUGGUUUCUUAAGUCUGAUGUGAAAGCCCACGGCUCAACCGUGGAGGGUCAUUGGAAACUGGGAGACUUGAGUGCAGAAGAGGAAAGUGGAAUUCCAUGUGUAGCGGUGAAAUGCGUAGAUAUAUGGAGGAACACCGGUGGCGAAAGCGGCUCUCUGGACUGUAACUGACACUGAGGCUCGAAAGCGUGGGUAGCAAACAGGAUUAGAUACCCUGGUAGUCCACGCCGUAAACGAUGAGUGCUAGUUGUUUGGGGCUAUCCAGCCCUAAGUGACGCAGCAAACGCAUUAAGCACUCCGCCUGGGGAGUACGACCGCAAGGUUGAAACUCAAAGGAAUUGACGGA